UUAUAUGGUCAAGAAGAGAAGCGCAAACGGUGGAUGCUUGGCAGUAAGAGGCGAAGAAGGACGUGGAAUCCUGCGAAAAGCUAUGGGGAGCUGGAAACGAGCGUUGAGCCAUAGAUGUCCGAAUGGGGGAACCCGGCUGCAGCGAUGCGGUCAUUUGCAUUUGAAUACAUAGGAUGCAAAGGCGAACUCGGGGAACUGAAACAUCUAAGUACCCGAAGGAAAAGAAAUCAAGAGAGAUUCUCCAAGUAGCGGCGAGCGAACGGGGAGGAGCCUGGCGUGAUUUAUUAUUGAACUGAGUAGAACAAUUUGGGAAAGUUGGCCGUAGAGGGUGAAAGCCCCGUAUACGAAGGUUUGAUGAGGAACUAGGCACGCGAACAAGUAGGCCGGGACACGUGAAAUCCUGGUUGAAGAUGGGUGGACCAUCAUCCAAGGCUAAAUACUACUUACUGACCGAUAGUGAACCAGUACCGUGAGGGAAAGGUGAAAAGAACCCCGGAGAGGGGAGUGAAAUAGAAUCUGAAACCGUUUGCGUACAAGCAGUGGGAGCAUAGUUUAGGCUGUGUGACUGCGUACCUUUUGUAUAAUGGGUCAGCGAGUUACUUUCAGUGGCGAGGUUA
rnacentral:rRNA from 1 species